rnacentral:rRNA from 1 species
CGGAACGUGUCCUGUAGUGGGGGAUAGCCCGGCGAAAGCCGGAUUAAUACCGCAUACGCUCUACGGAGGAAAGGGGGGGAUCGCAAGACCUCUCGCUACAGGGGCGGCCGAUGGCAGAUUAGCUAGUUGGUGGGGUAAAGGCCUACCAAGGCGACGAUCUGUAGCUGGUCUGAGAGGACGACCAGCCACACUGGGACUGAGACACGGCCCAGACUCCUACGGGAGGCAGCAGUGGGGAAUUUUGGACAAUGGGCGCAAGCCUGAUCCAGCAAUGCCGCGUGUGUGAAGAAGGCCUUCGGGUUGUAAAGCACUUUUGUCCGGAAAGAAAUCCUUUGGGCUAAUACCCUGAGGGGAUGACGGUACCGGAAGAAUAAGCACCGGCUAACUACGUGCCAGCAGCCGCGGUAAUACGUAGGGUGCAAGCGUUAAUCGGAAUUACUGGGCGUAAAGCGUGCGCAGGCGGUUCGCUAAGACAGAUGUGAAAUCCCCGGGCUUAACCUGGGAACUGCAUUUGUGACUGGCGGGCUAGAGUAUGGCAGAGGGGGGUAGAAUUCCACGUGUAGCAGUGAAAUGCGUAGAGAUGUGGAGGAAUACCGAUGGCGAAGGCAGCCCCCUGGGCCAAUACUGACGCUCA